GAGGAAUAUUGGUCAAUGGACGAGAGUCUGAACCAGCCAAGUAGCGUGAAGGAUGACUGCCCUAUGGGUUGUAAACUUCUUUUAUCUGGGAAUAAAACAGGGUAUGCAUACCCUCUUGUAUGUACCAUAUGAAUAAGGAUCGGCUAACUCCGUGCCAGCAGCCGCGGUAAUACGGAGGAUCCGAGCGUUAUCCGGAUUUAUUGGGUUUAAAGGGAGCGUAGGUGGAUUGUUAAGUCAGUUGUGAAAGUUUGCGGCUCAACCGUAAAAUUGCAGUUGAAACUGGCAGUCUUGAGUACAGUAGAGGUGGGCGGAAUUCGUGGUGUAGCGGUGAAAUGCUUAGAUAUCACGAAGAACUCCGAUUGCGAAGGCAGCUCACUAGACUGCAACUGACACUGAUGCUCGAAAGUGUGGGUAUCAAACAGG
rnacentral:rRNA from 1 species